UACAGGGGGGGUAAGCGUUGUUCGGAAUUACUGGGCGUAAAGGGCUCGUAGGCGGCCAACUAAGUCACACGUGAAAUCCCCAGGCUUAACCUGGGAACUGCGUGUGAUACUGGAUGGCUUGAAUCCGGGAGAGGGAUGCGGAAUUCCAGGUGUAGCGGUGAAAUGCGUAGAUAUCUGGAGGAACACCGGUGGCGAAGGCGGCAUCCUGGACCGGUAUUGACGCUGAUGAGCGAAAGCCAGGGGAGCAAACGGG
rnacentral:rRNA from 1 species